rnacentral:rRNA from 1 species
CGGGAUCGCAGUGACUGCGGAGGUCAUUACUGAGUUUUGAAGUGGGCUUGAUGCUGGCAUCUUUUUGAUGCAUGUGCUCAGCCCCGCUCUCAAAUCCACUCAACACCUGUGCACUUUCAAAGUUGUAGUCCUCCGUAAUGGGAGUCGCAAGUCUUUUUUGACUUGCUGGGACUGCGCUUUGCCAUUUAUCACAAACGAUAUUCAUUGUUUUGUAGAAUGUCUAGCCUCAUUGUAGGUGAAACUUAAUACAACUUUCAACAACGGAUCUCUUGGCUCUCGCAUCGAUGAAGAACGCAGCGAAAUGCGAUAAGUAAUGUGAAUUGCAGAAUUCAGUGAAUCAUCGAAUCUUUGAACGCACCUUGCGCUCCUUGGUAUUCCGAGGAGCAUGCCUGUUUGAGUGUCGUGAAAUUAUCAACUCCUAUUCUUUAUUGAAUGGUGAGCUUGGAUUUGGAGAUUGCUGGUGAAAAUCGGCUUCUCUUGAAUGAAUUAGCUGGAAUUUGAUUCGCAGAAUAUAUGCGGUGUGAUAAUGUCGUCACUGUGUAGCUCGGAUUGUCUGGCUUCUAAUCGUCUUUCAUGGACAAUUUGAUCAUUUUGACCUCAAAUCAGGUAGGACUACCCGCUGAACUUAAGCAUAUCAAAAAGCC